rnacentral:rRNA from 1 species
AUUGAACGCUGGCGGCAGGCCUAACACAUGCAAGUCGAACGAGUGGCGGACGGGUGAGUAAUGUCUGGGAAACUGCCUGAUGGAGGGGGAUAACUACUGGAAACGGUAGCUAAUACCGCAUACCAUCGGAUGUGCCCAGAUGGGAGUAGCUAGUAGGUGGGGUAAAGGCUCACCUAGGCGACGAUCCCUAGCUGGUCUGAGAGGAGGACGAGCCACACUGGAACGGGGACACGGUCCUGACCCCUACGGGAGGCAGCAGUGGGGAAUAUUGCACAAUGGGCGCAAGCCGGAUGCAGCCAUGCCGCGUGUAGGAAGAAGGCCUUCGGGUUGUAAAGUACUUUUAGCGGGGAGGCGUUACCCGCAGAAGAAGCACCGGCUAACUCCGUGCCAGCAGCCGCGGUAAUUC